rnacentral:rRNA from 1 species
GUGGGGAAUAUUGGACAAUGGGCGCAAGCCUGAUCCAGCCAUGCCGCGUGAGUGAUGAAGGCCCUAGGGUUGUAAAGCUCUUUCAGUGGGGACGAUAAUGACGGUACCCACAGAAGAAGCCCCGGCUAACUUCGUGACAGCAGCCGCGGUAAUACGAAGGGGGCUAGCGUUGUUCGGAUUUACUGGGCGUAAAGCGCACGUAGGCGGAUCGUUAAGUCGAGGGUGAAAUCCUGGAGCUAAACUCCAGAACUGCCUUCGAUACUGGCGAUCUUGAGUCCGGAAGAGGUGAGUGGAACUCCUAGUGUAGAGGUGGAAUUCGUAGAUAUUAGGAAGAACACCAGUGGCGAAGGCGGCUCACUGGUCCGGUACUGACGCUGAGGUGCGAAAGCGUGGGGAGCAAACAGGAUUAGAAACCCGGGUAGUCC